UCGAAUCCUGCAGACCACCGCGAACACGUUAUUAAAACCCCGGGCCGUUCGGGAGACGACGUCUCCCGGGCGCCCGAACCGAACAAAAAAUCCGGCGCGGAAAGCGCCAAGGACUACUCAAACGGAUCGCCCGUGCCCCCGGCGGCUUCCGUUGGGGGCGCGCGGCGUCUGAAUCGUUUAACC
rnacentral:misc_RNA from 1 species